rnacentral:rRNA from 1 species
UACAGAGGUCUCAAGCGUUGUUCGGAUUCACUGGGCGUAAAGGGUGCGUAGGUGGUGGGGUAAGUCUCGUGUGAAAGCUCGCAGCUUAACUGCGAAAAGUCACGGGAUACUAUUCCGCUGGAGGCUUGGAGGGGGGACUGGAAUACUUGGUGUAGCAGUGAAAUGCGUAGAUAUCAGGAGGAACACCGAUGGCGAAGGCAGGUCUCUGGGCCACUACUGACGCUGAGAAGCGAAAGCAUGGGGAGCGAACAGG